CCUACGGGGUGCAGCAGUGAGGAAUAUUGGUCAAUGGGCUUACGCCUGAACCAGCCAAGUCGCGUGAGGGAAGACUGCCCUAUGGGUUGUAAACCUCUUUUGUCAGGGAGCAACGCCGGCUACGUGUAGCCGGACUGAGAGUACCUGAAGAAAAAGCAUCGGCUAACUCCGUGCCAGCAGCCGCGGUAAUACGGAGGAUGCGAGCGUUAUCCGGAUUGAUUGGGGUUAAAGGGGGCGUAGGCGGAAUGCCAAGUCAGCGGUAAAAUCGCGGGGCUCAACCUCGCUCCGCCGUUGAAACUGGCGUUCUUGAGUGGGCGAGAAGUAUGCGGAAUGCGUGGUGUAGCGGUGAAAUGCAUAGAUAUCACGCAGAACUCCGAUUGCGAAGGCAGCAUACCGGCGCCCAACUGACGCUGAAGCACGAAAGCGUGGGUAUCGAACAGGAUUAGAUACCCCUGUAGUC
rnacentral:rRNA from 1 species